rnacentral:rRNA from 1 species
CUACGGGUGGCUGCAGUGAGGAAUAUUGCACAAUGGGGGGAACCCUGAUGCAGCAACGCCGCGUGGAGGAUGACGCAUUUCGGUGUGUAAACUCCUUUUAUAUGUCAAGAAAAUGACGGUAGCAUAUGAAUAAGCACCGGCUAACUCCGUGCCAGCAGCCGCGGUAAUACGGAGGGUGCAAGCGUUACUCGGAAUCACUGGGCGUAAAGGACGCGUAGGCGGGUUGGAAAGUCAGGUGUGAAAUCCUACAGCUUAACUGUAGAACUGCACUUGAAACUUCUAAUCUAGAGUAUGGGAGGGGGAGAUGGAAUUAGUGGUGUAGGGGUAAAAUCUGUAGAUAUCACCAGGAAUACCUAAAGCGAAGGCGAUCUCCUGGAACAUUACUGACGCUAAGGCGUGAAAGCGUGGGGAGCAAACAGGAUUAGAUACCCGGGUAGUC